UACGGGGGGGGCAAGCGUUGUUCGGAAUUACUGGGCGUAAAGGGCUCGUAGGUGGCCAACUAAGUCAGACGUGAAAUCCCUCGGCUUAACCGGGGAACUGCAUCUGAUACUGGAUGGCUUGAGUUUGGGAGAGGGAUGCGGAAUUCCAGGUGUAGCGGUGAAAUGCGCAGAUAUCUGGAGGAACACCGGUGGCGAAGGCGGCAUCCUGGACCAACACUGACGCUGAGGAGCGAAAGCCAGGGGAGCAAACGGG
rnacentral:rRNA from 1 species